rnacentral:lncRNA from 1 species
CUUCAGUCUUGCUCACCACUGCUAUAAUCUGUGUCUUUGUACUAUCUUGCUCUGAUACCACUUGUUGGUGGAUGUCUUGCCAGGACAUCACUUUUCAAGAUCUUUUCGAUACUGUGUGAUAUAGCAGAAAGAAAGAAAAAAUAAACAGAAAACAAUCAAAUACGUAGAUCAGCCAAAAAAGUACUCGCCUCCAUGGGGCAUGUAAACUUCACUAUGAGAAAAGAAAUAUUACAAGAGAAGAUCACACCCUCAACCCUCAUACACCCAAUUUCUCCCUCACAAGAAGUUUUCUCUCACAAAAGCUCUCUCUAGAAAGACCACCUUGAACCCCUGA